GCAAGUCGAACGAGAAAAAUUCCUUCGGGAAUCGAGUAAAGUGGCGCACGGGUGAGUAACGCGUAAGUAAUCUACCCUUGCAUCUGGAAUAACUACGGGAAGCUGUAGCUAAUACCGGAUACGUUCUCCAUCCUACGGGAUGGAGAAGAAAGAUGACCUCUUCUUGAAAGUUACCGUGCAGGGAGGAGCUUGCGUACCAUUAGCUAGUUGGUAGGGUAAUGGCCUACCAAGGCAACGAUGGUUAGCGGGUCUGAGAGGAUGAUC
rnacentral:rRNA from 1 species